GGCCAUACGGACGCCACAAAGUGUCCCUGGCCGCCUACACCCACUAUACAUCCACAAACCCGUGUGCACUGUCCUUGGAAAGGGCAUUUGGAGAGAAAAAGAAAGAGAAGCGAGAGCAGUGCGAUCCGUCGCGUUGAGCGUUUUCUCUGACUUGGUCUCUCUGAGGCCCUUUCCUUGCUACAAACUCGAAUGGUUAGUAUGAACGUGGAACUUGGUUGGACCGUCACUGGCCAACAAACUAUACACAACUUUCGACAACGGAUCUCUUGGUUCUCGCAUCGAUGAAUAACGCAGCAUAAGGAUCAUUAGUUAAGAUUUGGGCAGG
rnacentral:misc_RNA from 1 species